UACAGAGGGUGCAAGCGUUGUUCGGAAUUAUUGGGCGUAAAGCGCGUGUAGGCGGCAGUGCAAGUCGGGUGUGAAAGUCAAAGGCUCAACCUUUGAACGCCGAUGGAUACUGCGGAGCUAGAGUACGGAAGAGGCGAGUGGAAUUCCUGGUGUAGCGGUGGAAUGCGCAGAUAUCAGGAGGAACACCAAUAGCGAAGGCAGCUCGCUGGGACGUUACUGACACUAAGGCGCGAAAGCGUGGGGAGCGAACAGG
rnacentral:rRNA from 1 species